UACGUAGGGGGCAAGCGUUGUCCGGAUUUACUGGGCGUAAAGAGCGUGUAGGCGGCAAUGCAGGUCCGUUGUGAAAACUGGAGGCUUAACCUCCAGACGUCGACGGAAACCGCGUGGCUAGAGUCCGGAAGAGGAGAGUGGAAUUCCUGGUGUAGCGGUGAAAUGCGCAGAUAUCAGGAAGAACACCCGUGGCGAAGGCGGCUUUCUGGGACGGUACUGACGCUGAGACGCGAAAGCGUGGGGAGCGAACAGG
rnacentral:rRNA from 1 species